rnacentral:tRNA from 1 species
AGGGAUAUAGUUCAGUGGUAGAGUGUGUGCUUAGCAUGCGAGAGGUCUUGGGUUCAAUCCCCAGUAACUCCU